UACGAAGGGGGCUAGCGUUGUUCGGAAUUACUGGGCGUAAAGCGCGCGCAGGCGGUCCUUCAAGUCAGAGGUGAAAGCCCAGAGCUCAACUCUGGAAUGGCCUUUGAGACUAGAGGACUUGGGUACGGGAGAGGUGAGUGGAAUUCCGAGUGUAGAGGUGAAAUGCGCAGAUAUCGGGAAGAACACCCGUGGCGAAGGCGGCUCUCUGGGACGGUACUGACGCUGAGACGCGAAAGCGUGGGGAGCGAACAGG
rnacentral:rRNA from 1 species